UGUUGCUGAUGUUGAGUUUUGUAACGGUGGACCCCACAGUUUAUGACAGAAACAAGUAGGACAGAAAAUUCCAUCUUCAUCACUAACAAAAGAAAAAGGGAGGUUUGCAUUUUAAGGAGCAGUACAUAUUGGCAGCCAUGUAGCUUUGUAUUUGCUUUGAAGAAUUUCUUUCCUUCUCUGGUGAUUGGUUGGACUUUGAAUACCUCCUAUCCUUAUGGCCAUGGAACACUUGACAUUGACUCCAUUUACACUUGCAGAAACAAAAACGAACAUAUUUGCAACAAACAUCUAGCGGAGGAAUUGCUUGUUACUGAGUACCUACUGAACUGUCAAUUUGUUCGUUGUCAGGGGGCUAUAUCGAGUUUGGUUGCCAUAAUAAUGGUUGCCUCGCGAAUUGGAAAUGCUUUGCCGAAUCCCAGGAUAUCGCCAAGUGUGCCACAUUGUCAUAAUCGUUUUUCUUCUUAGGAUGGUUACCAAUGAGCAGUUGAAUACUAAAAGGUUUUGUUUGAUAUGCUGUAUUUAAAGAACUGAUGUUGGCAACAGCUUGAUGGGAAAAAGUAAUUUCCAAUGUGGGCACAGGAAAACUUGGAUUUAUUUGGUGAUAGAGUCGGAUGGUUUUCCUGAAGUUGCAGUUUGAAAUAACCUUUCAAAGCCUAAACUCAUCUUCGUAGAAAGGGACUUGUGAAAAGUAACGCUGGCUCUAAAUGUUUUUGGUUUGGGGCAAGACGUUGAAUAAAUUGUGAUGAUUGGAUGGACAA